AACAGGAUUAGAUACCCUGGUAGUCCACGCCGUAAACGAUGUCGACUUGGAGGUUGUGCCCUUGAGGCGUGGCUUCCGGAGCUAACGCGUUAAGUCGACCGCCUGGGGAGUACGGCCGCAAGGUUAAAACUCAAAUGAAUUGACGGGGGCCCGCACAAGCGGUGGAGCAUGUGGUUUAAUUCGAUGCAACGCGAAGAACCUUACCUGGUCUUGACAUCCACGGAAGUUUUCAGAGAUGAGAAUGUGCCUUCGGGAACCGUGAGACAGGUGCUGCAUGGCUGUCGUCAGCUCGUGUUGUGGAAUGUUGGGUUAAGUCCCGCAACGAGCGCAACCCUUAUCCUUUGUUGCCAGCGGUCCGGCCGGGAACUCAAAGGAGACUGCCAGUGAUAAACUGGAGGAAGGUGGGGAUGACGUCAAGUCAUCAUGGCCCUUACGACCAGGGCUACACACGUGCAACAAUGGCGCAUACAAAGAGAAGCGACCUCGCGAGAGCAAGCGGACCUCAUAAAGUGCGUCGUAGUCCGGAUUGGAGUCUGCAACUCGACUCCAUGAAGUCGGAAUCGCUAGUAAUCGUGGAUCAGAAUGCCACGGUGAAUACGUUCCCGGGCCUUGUACACACCGCCCGUCACACCGUGGGAGUGGGUUGCAAAAGAAGUAGGUAGCUUAACCUUCGGGAGGGCGCUUACCACUUUGUGAUUCAUGACUGGGGUGAAGUCGUAACAAGGUAACC
rnacentral:rRNA from 1 species